rfam:Candidatus Zambryskibacteria bacterium RIFCSPHIGHO2_02_FTLL_43_14 rifcsphigho2_02_scaffold_813, whole genome shotgun sequence.
AAUAGGAAAUUUAAGGGCGUACGGUGGAUGCCUUGACUCCAAGAAGGUGAUGAAGGACGUGGCUUGGCGGCGAUACGCUUCGGGGAGGUGCCUAGCAACCUGUGAUCCGAAGAUGUCCGAAUGGGGAAACCCGCCCCCCACAUAGCAAUAUGUGGUGGGCACUCUAUCGACUAGAUAGAGAACGCACCCAGUGAAGUAAAACAUUUCAGUAACUGGAGGAAAAGAGAACAAUUGUUAUUUCGUUAGUAGCGGCGAGCGAAAACGAAACAGCCCAAACUCAGUUUCAAUUUUUGGUUUUUAAAAGUCAUAAAGUCCAAAAAGUCAGACUUUUGGAUCAGAAUUCUUAAAGUCUGACUUUAGAAUCCGGACUUUAUGACUUUAGAAUUCGAAACCAAAAAUUGAUGCUGGGGGUCGUAAGGUGGUAAUGUCCAGCACAUAGCAAUAUGUGCUGGAGAAGAGUUAAAAAUAUCUGGUUAGGUGAAGCUUCUGGAAAGAAGUACCCUAGGGGGUAAUAGUCCCGUAACCGAAAAUCAGAAAUCUCUUUUGUUGCCGCUCUUGAGUACCUCGAGACACGAAUGGCUCGGGGGAAUCUGCCGGAACUAACCGGUAAGGCUAAAUACUCUUGGAGAUCGAUAGUGAACUAGUACCGUGAGGGAAAGGUGAAAAGUAGC